UACGUAGGGGGCGAGCGUUGUCCGGAAUUACUGGGCGUAAAGAGCUCGUAGGUGGUUUGUCGCGUUGUUCGUGAAAACCGGGGGCUUAACCCUCGGCGUGCGGGCGAUACGGGCAGACUUGAGUACUGCAGGGGAGACUGGAAUUCCUGGUGUAGCGGUGGAAUGCGCAGAUAUCAGGAGGAACACCGGUGGCGAAGGCGGGUCUCUGGGCCGAUACUGACGCUGAGGAGCGAAAGCGUGGGGAGCGAACAGG
rnacentral:rRNA from 1 species